rnacentral:rRNA from 1 species
CAAACUGGGAUUAGAUACCCCACUAUGCUUAGCCUUAAACCCAGAUGUAUUAUUACACACACAUCCGCCCGGGUACUACGAGCACAGCUUAAAACCCAAAGGACUUGGCGGUGUCUCAGACCCACCUAGAGGAGCCUGUUCUAUAACCGAUAACCCCCGUUAAACCUCACCACUUCUUGUUAAUCCCGCCUAUAUACCGCCGUCGUCAGCUUACCCCGUAAGGGCCUAACAGUAAGCAAAAUGGGCCCGCCCAAAAACGUCAGGUCGAGGUGUAGCGUACGAAGUGGGAAGAAAUGGGCUACAUUUUCUACAACUAGAAUAUUAAACGAAUGGCACUAUGAAAAUUACUGCCUGAAGGUGGAUUUAGUAGUAAAAAGCAAACAGAGUGUCCUUUUGAAUUAGGCUCUGAGACGCGCACACACCGCCCGUCAC